rnacentral:rRNA from 1 species
AGGAUGAACGCUGGCGGCGUGCCUAACACAUGCAAGUCGAACGGAAACUAAGCGCUUCGGAGACUUCGGUCAAUGUUGCUUGGUUUAGUGGCGGACGGGUGAGUAACGCGUGGAUAACCUGCCUCAUACAGGGGGAUAACAGUUAGAAAUGACUGCUAAUACCGCAUAAGCGCACGGAAUCGCAUGUUUCUGUGUGAAAAGCUCCGACGGUAUGAGAUGGAUCCGCGUCUGAUUAGCUAGUUGCGGGGUAACAGCCCACCAAGGCGACGAUCAGUAGCCGGCCUGAGAGGGUGAACGGCCACAUUGGGACUGAGACACGGCCCAAACUCCUACGGAGGCAGCAGUGGGGGAUAUUGCACAAUGGGGGAAACCCUGAUGCAGCCGACGCCGCGUGAGUGAAGAAGUAUUUCGGUAUGUAAAGCUCUAUCAGCAGGGAAGAUAAUGACGGUACCUGACUAAGAAGCACCGGCUAAAUACGUGCCAGCCGCAGC